AAACAAGUUUGAGUAAUAAAAGUUUCUCUUCUCCAAAAUCUUUCUACUCUUCCAAAAUUCCCUUAGCCUAAAAGCCUCCCUCCAAAUAUUAAUAGCAACCUCUUCCAACAUACCGCACCCCAGGAGUGGUUAAUUCCAUUACUAAAUUAUAGGCGAACCUAUCAUCCAUUAAGUCUUUGAAAUAUUUCGAUAACUAGAAAUAAAUAUUUUUUUGGUAUGAGGGUAGACAAGAUCUAAUUAAUAAGAAUUUCACCACGCAGCAAGCAACUAAAUACUAUUAUCUGGUUGCCUCAUCAUAUAAAAUAAAAAAAUUAUAAGAUACCACUAAAACGGAUUCCUCCGGAACCUAAUAUAUACAAAUUAAAUAUUGAUGCAGCACAUUAACCACGCUCUCAUAGAAAUGGUAUUGGUCGAAUAAUUAGGGAUCAUGAGGGGAGUUGGAUCCUAGGUUUCUCAGGUAUAGUACUCUCUUACGCGCCUAUUACCACAGAAAUACUUGCUUUAUUACAGGGCCUUAUAUUGGUGGUUCAACAUAAUUUAACACCGAUUCAAGUGAAAAUUGACACUAAAGAGGUACUUAGCCUACUGAAGAAUACUAAUAUACUACAUGCUAAUCUACUAAAUGAUUGCAGGAAUCUACUAACGCAGCUACAUGAUCCGUCAGUCAACCAUGCAUAGAGAGAGCAAAAUAGAUUAAUAGACUAGCAAAUGCAGGAAGCUUUUUGACUGAAGACUCUACUAUAUAGAUUUUUGCUGAACCACCACUUUUUGGUAAUAAGAUAUGGAAUGAGGACAUGCUUGGAGUAACUACGACACGCUUGCUACCACAUUGUACGUAUGACUUGGAAGUGCCAACCUGAGGUGUGUGAAACUAGGAGUUAUGACAGUAGUCCUACUUUCAUGGUUAACAAAAACUCAAUAAAACUUUUCAAAGUAGCCGAUCAUAAAGAAGGCGCAAGAGUUGUGAUGGUUGAAUUAUAUGGGCUCAGAGGAAAUGUUUGAUACUCCUAAAAAUAGCUAUGACAACUUUUAAUUUUGAAAAAAGAGACAUCAAAAGUGUUGAGGUAAUACUAUAUUGUUAUUAAAAUUCCAAAAAUAAAUGCACUCCAUGUUAUUUUUAUUAUCAUGUUUUGUGAAUAUUCUUGCACACAAGGAGUAGGAUUGUAAAGUGUCUUGAUUGAUGUAUGACUAGACGUGCAAUGAUAUUUUAAUGGUUUUGAUUGCUAAGAUAUAGUCAAGUCAAAUGUAAGAUGAAGUGCAAGAUUUGGAGCAAGCCGUUUCACAUUUCAGAUGACGAGCAUGCUGCAAUCAGAAACAAUUUCAAAGAGUCAUGAAUAACAAAUUAGGGAUAAAAUCGGGUUUUACUUUCUUUACUUCACUUUUUCUUUGAGAAUUUUACCUUUGUUAUUUAUGAAAUUUAAUUCCUACAAAUAUUAGGGUACAUAUUUGUUGUGUGAUCAUUUUAAUUUGUUGUAUAAAAUUGGUUUGUUUGUAUACAAUUAGUAGGAUGCAUGAAACUGUAUGAAAGAUUGUUACCUGGGUUGCAAGA
rnacentral:lncRNA from 1 species